AUCCUUUUGCAGUAAGCGUGAUGACUGGGUUUUCACUCUCGUGUGUGAGAUGUGCUUCCCUCAAACUUUGUCAUCACACUGGCACCUUACCUGUCUGAUG